UACGUAGGGGGCAAGCGUUGUCCGGAAUUAUUGGGCGUAAAGCGCGCGCAGGCGGCUUUGUAAGUCUGUCGUUUAAGUUCGGGGCUCAACCCCGUAUCGCGAUGGAAACUGCAAGGCUUGAGUGCAGAAGAGGAAAGUGGAAUUCCACGUGUAGCGGUGAAAUGCGUAGAGAUGUGGAGGAACACCGGUGGCGAAGGCGGGUCUCUGGGCCGAAAUUGACGCUGAGGAGCGAAAGCGUGGGGAGCAAACAGG
rnacentral:rRNA from 1 species